rnacentral:snRNA from 1 species
GUUUUUUUUUCAGGAUCAUAUUUCCUAAAAUUAGAGCUACAUAGAGAAGAUCAGCAUGGUCUACAGAAAGAUGAAAUGCAAAUUCAUAGUGUUCCAAAUCUUU